rnacentral:tRNA from 1 species
AGCUUUAUAGUUUAAUAAGAAUUUUAAAUUGCAAAUUUAAAGGUGGGUGUAAUCCUAAGGCUU